rnacentral:misc_RNA from 1 species
UACGGAGGGUCCAAGCGUUGCGCGGAUUUACUGGGCUUAAAGCGUGCGUAGGCGGAAGCACAAGCGUCUUGUGAAAGCCCACGGCUCAACCGUGGAAUUGCAGGGCGAACUGUGUUUCUUGAGGCCGGUAGAGGGUGCCGGAACUCUGGGUGUAGCGGUGAAAUGCGUAGAUAUCCAGAGGAACGCCGAUGGUGAAGACAGGCGCCUGGGCCGGUUCUGACGCUGAGGCACGAAAGCAUGGGUAGCGAACAGG